UAUCGUAUCAUUUCAUAAGAAAUGAAGAUUGAAUUCAUCUGCAUUUUAAUAUUUUCUGGACUUCUUAGGGAAUCCAGCGCAGAAUGCGAGAGGGAAGAGGAAUGCGAGUUUGAGAAACUGAAAAGGAAUAUUCUAAUAUUUGCCGGUGCCAUCCUAGGAUUCGCAAUACUUGUAGGUCUCUCUACAUAUGUCGUCUACAGACUGCGUAACAAAAAAUAAGCACAUACAGGUGUUAAGACUGAAGGUACUCUUCUGUUAUAGGACAGAGGAUAGCUACAAAGUGCUGACUACAUGUCUGAUCUACAGAAAUGAAAUUUCACAACAGUAG